rnacentral:rRNA from 1 species
UACAGAGGGUGCAAGCGUUGUUCGGAAUUAUUGGGCGUAAAGCGCGUGUAGGCGGCUUUGCAAGUCGGGUGUGAAAGCCCUCAGCUCAACUGAGGAAGUGCGCCCGAAACUGCAGAGCUUGAGUACCGGAGAGGGUGGCGGAAUUCCCCAAGUAGAGGUGAAAUUCGUAGAUAUGGGAGGAACACCGGUGGCGAAGGCGGCCACCUGGACGGUCACUGGACGCUGAGAACGCGAAAGCGUGGGGAGCAAACAGG